ACGAGGAUGGAGCUACACACGGACACGGGAGAGGCAAAGCUGAUGACGAAGGUGGGUCCUGCACCUGCGCCAGCUCAGAGUCAAGCAUCAUCUUGGCACACGCCUGUAGUCCCAGCUAACUCUGGAGGCUUAGGCAGGAGAAUUGCUUGAGCCUGGGAGACGGAGGUUGCAGUGAGCCGAGAUUGAGGUUGCAGUGAGCUGAGAUGGAGCCACUGCACUCCAGCCUGGCCGACACAGGGAGAAUCCGUCUCAAAAAAAAAAAAAAAAAGAUUUCCAGCAAUAGAAAAGUGCUGACGACAUACCUGGGCCAAAGGAAAGCUUGAUCAUGGACAGCUUCUCUUGAGAGGCUGGCUAGAUUUAAAUCAGUGAUAAGUUUUCAGCUCUCUGAUGUUGAGCAAGUUACUUAAACCUCUUGUUAUAGUUGUCAGAUUAGUAAAAUGGGUUCAUAAAUAGCAUUUCCCUUUAGGAUUAUUGGGAGUGUUCAAGGAAUGAAUGAUUUAAAGAGGCCUGGCACGUUCUAAAUGUUACAUGAUAAGAACAUUGAAGAGAAAUACCCACUACUCUCCUUGAUUGACCGCAGGGUCUGCAUGUCACCCAAAGUCAUCCUCUUUGGAGGGUGCCCCUCAUUUUCAAAACUGCCAUCCUGCAGUGGGGUGGCUGGCAGGCCUGGGAUAGUCCAGGAGAACUAUAUGAAAAGGAGGAAACUGACAAAUGUGCCCACCAUCACCUCAGAGGAGGAGCAUCGAAGGAACAGAGAGAGAGGCCGACCCUUGGUUGCCACAUUCUGUCUGCAGCGGAAACGAUUUUGAGGGUCCUAGGUGGGAAGAAGGACAGACAAUGAGAGGGGAGGGUGAGGGAGAAGCAAGUCACCUCCACCGUGGCUCAUCUGCACACUGCUCACUAGCUCCGCUCCCUGCUACAGCCAGUGUAGAAGGUGAGCAAGAGGAUGGAGCUGCACACGGACCCCAGAGAGGCAAAGCUGGUGGCGAUGGUGCGCAGAGGGAGGAAGGGAGGGGUUGGGGAUAGCACGUAAGAGAUAUCAUGGUAUGGGCAUCUGUAACA
rnacentral:lncRNA from 10 species